UACGUAGGGGGGCUAGCGUUGUCCGGAAUCAUUGGGCGUAAAGAGCGUGUAGGCGGUCCGGUAAGUCCGCUGUGAAAGUCGGGGGGCUCAACCCUCGAAUGCCGGUGGAUACUGUCGGGCUAGAGUGCGGAAGAGGCGAGUGGAAUUCCUGGUGUAGCGGUGAAAUGCGCAGAUAUCAGGAGGAACACCUAUUGCGAAGGCAGCUCGCUGGGACGUUACUGACGCUGAGGCGCGAAAGCGUGGGGAGCAAACAGG
rnacentral:rRNA from 1 species